UCAAACUUGGUCAUUUAGAGGAAGUAAAAGUCGUAACAAGGUUUCCGUAGGUGAACCUGCGGAAGGAUCAUUAAAAAGGAAAUUACACAUGAAUCUCCUCUUUUUAAGCGGAGGUUCAAAUGUAAACUCUUGUGCACUUAAUUUUUUGGUAGUCGUUUCCUUUUUUCGAAAGAGAAAAGGCGAAUGGUUCCUCUGAAACGGAGAACCAGAAGACUACCAAAAGGUUUAAAACUCUUAAAAAUAUAUUGUAGUGUUAUUUUUUUUACAAAAUAACAUAAUGUCUGAUGUGUUUGAUUAUAAACUUGUUUUAUAAUUAAAAUUACAACUUUUGACAACGGAUCUCUUGGCUCUCGCAUCGAUGAAGAACGCAGC
rnacentral:misc_RNA from 1 species